UGAGGAAUAUUGGUCAAUGGACGGAAGUCUGAACCAGCCAAGUAGCGUGCAGGAUGACGGCCCUAUGGGUUGUAAACUGCUUUUGUAUGGGGAUAAAGUUAGGGACGUGUCCCUAUUUGCAGGUACCAUACGAAUAAGGACUGGCUAAUUCCGUGCCAGCAGCCGCGGUAAUACGGAAGGUCCAGGCGUUAUCCGGAAUUAUUGGGCGUAAAGCGCGCGCAGGUGGUUUAGAAAGUCUGAUGUGAAAGCCCACGGCUCAACCGUGGAGGGUCAUUGGAAACUAAUAAACUUGAGUGCAGGAGAGAAAAGUGGAAUUCCUAGUGUAGCGGUGAAAUGCGUAGAGAUUAGGAGGAACACCGGUGGCGAAAGCGGCUUUUUGGCCUGCAACUGACACUGAGGCGCGAAAGCGUGGGGAGCAAACAGG
rnacentral:rRNA from 1 species